rnacentral:rRNA from 1 species
UACGAGGGGUGCAAGCGUUGCUCGGAAUUAUUGGGCGUAAAGGGUAGGUAGGUGGUCUCAUUUGUCUGGGGUGAAAGCCUUGAGCUUAACUCGAGAAGUGCCCCGGAAACGGUGAGACUGGAGUCUUGGAGAGGGUCGUGGAAUUCCCGGUGUAGCGGUGAAAUGCGUAGAGAUGCGGAGGAACACCAAUGGCGAAGGCAGCCCCCUGGGUCAACACUGACGCUCAUGCACGAAAGCGUGGGGAGCAAACAGG